rnacentral:rRNA from 1 species
ACUCCUACGGGAGGCAGCAGUGGGGAAUUUUGGACAAUGGGCGAAAGCCUGAUCCAGCAAUGCCGCGUGAGUGAAGAAGGCCUUCGGGUUGUAAAGCUCUUUUGUCAGGGAAGAAACGGUGAAAGCUAAUAUCUUUUGCUAAUGACGGUACCUGAAGAAUAAGCACCGGCUAACUACGUGCCAGCAGCCGCGGUAAUACGUAGGGUGCAAGCGUUAAUCGGAAUUACUGGGCGUAAAGCGUGCGCAGGCGGUUUUGUAAGUCUGAUGUGAAAUCCCCGGGCUCAACCUGAGAAUUGCAUUGGAGACUGCAAGGCUAGGAUCUGGCAGAGGGGGGUAGAAUUCCACGUAUAGCAGUGAAAUGCGUAGAUAUGUGGAGGAACACCGAGGGCGAAGGCAGCCCCCUGGGUCAAGAUUGACGCUCAUGCACAAAAGCGUGGGGAGCAAACAGGAUUAGAAACCCUUGUAGUCCCA